GGUUUAUCAAAAACAUGUCUUUUUGAAUUUAAUUUAAAGUCUAAUCUGCCCACUGAUAAUAUUGAAUGGCCGCAGAAUUUUAACUGUGCAAAGGUAGCAUAAUCAUUAGUCUUUUAAUUGAGGGCUUGUAUGAAUGAUUGGACGAGAUAUAAUCUGUCUCAUAAAAAUAUAUAGAAUUUUAUUUUUUAGUCAAAAAGCUAAAAUAAAUUUAAAAGACGAGAAGACCCUAUAGAUCUUUAUAUUUUGAGAUAAUAUUUUUUUAAUGAAUUACUUUUGAAAUUUUAUUAUAAAAUAUUUUAUUGGGGCGAUAUUGAAAUUUAAGUAACUUUCAACAAUUUAUACCAUAAAUUAAUGAUUUUUUGAUCCAUUACUAUUGAUUAAAAAUUUAAGUUACCUUAGGGAUAACAGCGUAAUUAUUUUGGAGAGUUCAUAUCUAUAAAAUAGAUUGCGACCUCGAUGUUGGAUUAAAAUAAUUUUUG
rnacentral:rRNA from 1 species